AUGGCCACCACGGCCGCCGCCGCCGCCCCGGUGCCAGGCGCUAUUCCAGCCGCGGCGCCCGCGGCCCCGUCCGCGCAACCGCAUCCCGUUCCAGACAAAUGUACGAAUUAUAAAAACCAUUUGCAAGAGUGGACUCAAAGGAAUGAUCAGAAGUUGCCAGCUUAUAAUACUGAGUCAAAACGUGACCAUCAUCGACUUGAGUUCAGAAGCACCGUUGAGGUGGGUGGCGAGCGGUUUCAAUCAGCUCGCAAUCAUAGCCGCCGCAAGGAUGCAGAGCAGGAUGCUGCCAGAGUGGCCUAUGAAAUCCUGGUGACAAAGACAGUAAAUGAUGAUGAUCAUACAGACGCGCUUGGGCUGAUUGAUCAGGGCGUGGUGUUCUGCAAAUCAAUUCUCCAUGAAUUUGCUGUUAAGACAAAAGUUGAUCAGCCCACUUACUCCGCAGAUCAUCCAGAAGGGGUAUCACCCAUGACUCUGUUUGUUUCAUCUGUGUUGUUUGCUGGGAACACUUAUACUGGUGAAGCUGCAACAUGUAAGAAGGACGCAGAGCAGAAGGCUGCUCGUGUUGCAGUCAAAUCUAUUUUAGCUACAAAGAACACUUGUAUGCAUCAAAUUGUCAGAUCAAAGAAAGAGCUUAUCAUUGCCAUCACAUCUUCUGGGUUCAACAAAGAAAGAGGAGUUGUAAGCCAGGAAAACUGCAAUGCUCCAACAAAUGCAAUUACUCCUAUAAAAUUUGUGCCUGCUGGUGAAGCUGCUGGUCUAACUGCGGAUCAAGGAGCGACCAACGUUCCUGAAGAUGAUCCAUGUGCACAAGCUGUAUCUGGCUCGGAAAAGCGCAAGAAGCACAGAAAGGUUUGA
rnacentral:rRNA from 1 species